rnacentral:rRNA from 1 species
CCUUAGUUGCCAGCAUUUAGUUGGGCACUCUAAGGUGACUGCCGGUGACAAACCGGAGGAAGGUGGGGAUGACGUCAAAUCAUCAUGCCCCUUAUGACCUGGGCUACACACGUGCUACAAUGGAUGGUACAAAGGGCAGCAAAGCCGCGAGGUGAAGCGAAUCCCAUAAAACCAUUCUCAGUUCGGAUUGUAGGCUGCAACUCGCCUACAUGAAGCCGGAAUCGCUAGUAAUCGCGGAUCAGCAUGCCGCGGUGAAUACGUUCCCGGGCCUUGUACACACC